GGGCCCGUAGUCUAGUCUGGACUAGGACGCUGGCCUUCGGAGCCGGAGAUCCGGGGUUCGAAUCCCCGCGGGCCCGCCA
rnacentral:tRNA from 1 species